CACGUGAGGGGCAAGCGUUGUCCGGAUUAUUGGGCGUAAAGAGCUCGUAGGUGGCUGAGUAAUCGGUGACAAUACCCAGGCUCAACCUCGGACACCACCCGAUACUGCUCGUGGCGUAGAUGUCCGGUGAGGGGAGCAAUCGGAAUUCCUGGUGUAGCGGUGAAAUGCGCAGAUAUCAGGAGGAACACCAGCGGCGAAGGCGGUGCU
rnacentral:rRNA from 1 species